UACGGAGGGUGCGAGCGUUAAUCGGAAUAACUGGGCGUAAAGGGCACGCAGGCGGUGACUUAAGUGAGGUGUGAAAGCCCCGGGCUUAACCUGGGAAUUGCAUUUCAUACUGGGUCGCUAGAGUACUUUAGGGAGGGGUAGAAUUCCACGUGUAGCGGUGAAAUGCGUAGAGAUGUGGAGGAAUACCGAAGGCGAAGGCAGCCCCUUGGGAAUGUACUGACGCUCAUGUGCGAAAGCGUGGGGAGCAAACAGG
rnacentral:ncRNA from 7 species